rnacentral:rRNA from 1 species
GCUUAACUUCCAGCCCUAACUAUCUAUAUUAAAUAAUCUUAUUUUUUCUCCCAAGAUAAAACAUUUUUGCAAUUUAGUCCCUGGCGAUAAAAAAAUUUUUACGGAGCAUUAAAAAAAGUACCGCAAGGGAAAGAUGAAAUACUAAUGAAAUAUCUUCUAAGCACAAAAAAGUAGAGCUUCCCCCUCGUACCUUUUGCAUCAUGGUUUAACUAGUCUAAUUAGGCAAAAAGAUUUAUAGUCUAACCCCCCGAACCUGGGCGAGCUAUUCUAAGACAACUUCACGAGCCAACCCGUCUCUGUCGCAAAAGAGUGGGAAGAUCUUAUAAUAGCGGUGACAAACCAAGCGAGCCUAGCGAUAGCUGGUUGCUUUUUAAAUGAAUUUUAGUUCCACUCAAAGGCCCCCAUAAUAAAAGUAAAUCCCCCUUUGAAGCAAUUCAAAUAAGGUUCAGCCUAUUUGAAAAAGGACACAACCUCAAUCAUUGGGUUACCCCGUUUUUUUAUGCUCAAGUAGGCCUAAAAGCAGCCACCUUAUAUAAAAGCGUCAAAGCUUAAUCAUCUUCAAACUCAAUCCCUCAAACAUCUACUAACCCCUCAUCUGUAAGAAGCAACUCUAUACUAAUUAUAGAAAAUUUUAUGUUAGAACUAGUAACAAGAAGCAGCCCUUCUCUUAAAUGUAUCUGUAYAUCAGCAAGGACACCCCACUGAUACUUAAACGCUUUUAAUCAUUGAUUAGCAACACCCUAAGAAAACCCUACUUUAUACCACGUUAACCUUACACAAGCACAUUUAAAGAAAGAUUUUAAGAAAAAGAAGGAACUCGGCAAACAUUAGCCUCGCCUGUUUACCAAAAACAUCGCCUCUUGAAUUAACCAUAAGAGGUCCAGCCUGCCCAGUGACAUUGUUCAACGGCCGCGGUAUUCUAACCGUGCAAAGGUAGCGUAAUCACUUGUCCUUUAAAUGCGGACUAGUAUGAACGGCCACACGAAAGCUAUGCUGUCUCCUUUUUCUAAUCAGUUAAACUAAUCUCCCCGUGAAGAAGCGGGGAUAGUCGUAUAAGACGAGAAGACCCUAUGGAGCUUUAAACAAUCGAAACACUUGUGCCCAUCUUACAAACUUCCGAUAAUCUACACUUAAUUUCACACUUUGUUUCUAGCUUUAGGUUGGGGUGACCACGGAGAAAAAACAAACCUCCACGCUGAAAGAGUUAAUCUCUAAACAAAAAGCCACAUCUUUAAGUAUUAACACAUUAACCUGAAUUGACCCAAUAAAUUGAUCAACGAACCAAGUUACCCUAGGGAUAACAGCGCAAUCCAUUUCAAGAGCUCUUAUCGACAAAUGGGUUUACGACCUCGAUGUUGGAUCAGGGUAUCCUAGUGGUGCAGCCGCUACUGAUGGUUCGUUUGUUCAACGAUUAAAACCCUACGUGAUCUGAGUUCAGACCGGAGUAAUCCAGGUCAGUUUCUAUCUAUAAAGAGCUUUUUCCAGUACGAAAGGACCGAAAAAACAUGGCCAAUACACAAUGCAAGCCAUAUAUUUUGCACUUAUGCCCCACACUCAAUAAUCAAAAAUCUACAACCCUAUUUAAGACAAAAAUAA